AGAGGGCCUGGUUUGGUCCUGUGCUGGUUCCCCAGCUGUAAGACUGGGGUCCCUGAGCCCCCACUUGCUCAGGUCGGCAUCAAUAUGGUGACCUCCCUGGAGUGGGGGACCACCAGGUUGCCUAAGGAGGAGUGAACUGGCCCAGGCCGGUAACGGAGCAGGUCAAAACUCCUGUACUGAUCAGUUGAAUUGUUUAUGUAACAUUCUUUCU
ensembl:misc_RNA Metazoa_SRP Metazoan signal recognition particle RNA